ACGCAUGCGCACCGGGGAUGGCGACAGGGCCUCUUUCUUUGCUUCUCUCCACAGCUCUUCCCAGCCGGGGGGCUGAGUGCCCUCCCCCUUCUCUCCCUGCCCCUCCCCUUUCUCCCCCCUCACCGCCCAGCGGGGCUUCUAACUGACAGUUGUCGCCGGGCCCCGUCCGUGCACCGCCUCCUUCUGCCCGUGUCCCCCGCAGGUAGAGGGGGGCGGGAGGGGGUGUGAGGGAGAGGAGGAGCCGGAGCCGCCGCUGCGGCCCCCUCCGGGGAGGGGAGAGGAGAACCCCCUUCCUCCUCGCCCCCUCCCAGCCCCCCGCUGGCCCGGGAGGGGGUGGGGCGCCGAGGCCGCGGCGACCCGGCAGGGCCUGGCCGGUGAAGAGCAGGCGGGCGGGGUGCGGAGGGGUGAGGCCGGCGAGGGCCGUGCGCGCGCCGCCGCCGGGGGGGAGGGGAGAGGAGGGCACCUAGGCUCUCCUCUUCUCUCCCCCCUCCUCGCGCGCCAUGUAACCCCGCCCCGCCGGCGGUGAGCUCAAGACCCCCGCGCGCACCGAGCCGAGCCGGCGGCUGAGGAGAGCCAGGCCCGAUGUGGCGGGGGCUACGCGCCGCGGCCGAGCCGUGAGGAAGCGGCUCGCGCUCACGCGUCCCCCAGCACCUCGAGCGGCUGUUCCACACCGCCCAGCCUAGGCCUGCCGGGGCAUGAGUGUGCCCGGGACGCCGGGAGCGAUGGAGCCGGCUGGGGAGGAAGAGCGGCCGCCACCGGCGGCCGAAGGAGAGGACGACGAGGAGGAGGUGGCAGCGGCGGCCCAGACCUCAGGGCCGGCCCACGGAAGGAGUGCCUCCUCGCUGGAGGACGCGGACGAUCAGGAGGAAGAGAUGGAGGCGAUGGUGAUCGGAGGCGGUUGCUGCAAGGAGCAGGAGCUGACCUACGAGCUACAGCAGGGCUACCGCAUCCUGGGCGAGUUCCUGCAGGAGAAGCACCGGGGCCUCACCGCCCCCUUUCUGCAGCCCUUGGGGGGCGUUGCCACCGCGGAGGAGGAGGUGGCGGAAGGGCCGCGCAGCGGGGGCCGGGGCGGUCGCGCCUUCCCGCAGCAGCCCGGACAGGGCAUGUGUCUGCUGCAGAUGGAAGAGAAGUUCGCCAGCGGCCAGUACGGGGGCAUCACCGAGUUCGUGGCGGACUUCAGGUUGAUGCUGGAGACGUGCUACCGCCUGCACGGAGUGGACCACUGGAUCUCCAAACAGGGCCAGAAGCUGGAGAUGAUGCUGGAGCAGAAGUUAGCGCUUCUCUCUCGGCACUUGAGAGAAAAGACAACGAUAGCAGUUACAUCUAGAGGCUAUUAUGGAUUGGAGGAUGAGAAGGGAACUGCAUGUACCUCAACAAGGCGUCGGUCAACACCGCGAAGUUUGGCAGGCUUGACAAGUGGAGUUUUUGAAUCUAUAAUGGUUCAAGUUUUGAGACAGGAAGAACAGCUGAGAGCAAAAGAAGAAAAAAGGCUUCGGGAGCAGGAAAGAAAAGAAGCAGAAGAAGCUAGUCAAAAGGAAAUAGAAGAAUGGGAAAGAAAACUUCUAGCUCAAGCAGCUCCAACUUGUAUGGAGACCAUGUGGGAAAUUCCAGCUAUUGGGCAUUUCCUUUGUUUAGCUCAGCAAAUUCUAAAUUUGCCAGAAAUAGUCUUUUACGAAUUGGAACGUUGUCUUCUGAUGCCUCAGUGUAAUGCUUUUCUAUCGAAAAUAAUGACUUCUCUAUUAAGUCCUCCCCAUCGCAGACCUACCUUACAUCGAAGACCUACUUUGCCUUAUAGGACCUGGGAAGCAGCGCUGAGGCAGAAAGUACAACAGUGGUACACUGCUGUAGGGCAAACUGAAAAUCCUGAUAACUGUGCUGAAAAACUGGGGUUGUGUCCUCAGUUUUUUAAAGUUCUUGGAGAAGUUAAUCCAUUGGAAGAAAAACCUUUUCACGAACUACCUUUUUACCAAAAAGUGUGGCUACUUAAGGGUCUUUGUGACUUUGUGUAUGAAACACAAAAGGAAGUUCAAGAUGCUGUACUUGGACAGCCUAUCCAUGAAUGCAGGGAAGUUAUUCUUGGUUAUGAUUAUUUGGAGAAUGCUUAUGUACAUUUUCCACAGUUCUGUGGUGCAGAUGUACGGAUUUAUAAACAGAGACCCUUUCAGGCCCCAGAAUUUCCAAUUCCACCCAUUAAAAUACAAAGAGUACCUCGGAUUAAAUUGGAGAAAUUGAAGUGUGACUAUGUUAGUACAAGUAAUGGAGAACAUAGAUGUAGCAGAGAUAGCCUGCCCUCUUCCUUCAAGAAAGAGCAGGAAAAUAAUUUUGAUCCAGCUUGCUGUCCUGCUAAAAUGAUCUUGGAUAAUCAUGACAUCUCUGUUGAAAUGGGAGUAAAAUCCAACUAUGAAAUUAGAAUUCGCAGGCCUUGUGAAAUUAAAAAAACUGAUUGUUGUAAAGAAAAUUUAGAGAAACCAAGGAGUCCAGGGGAAGUUACUGGCUUUGGAGAGCCUCUUAGUCCAGGUGAAAUAAGGUUUAUAGAAAAUCAGGAAAAAUACGGUGAAGCUUCCAGAAUAAAGAUUGAACCCAGUCCAUUAAAAGAAAAUACUCUAAAAUCUUGCCAAAUACAUGUAAAUGGAAGUCACAGUGAUCAUCCAGAAAUUAACUGCCACAAAGUUGUAAGGGAUAUUCUAUUAGAGCAGUCACUACAGAGCCACAAGAAACUCAAACUAACUAAAAUGAGGGCAAAAAAGAAGAAAAAGAAAAAAAAGAAAUUGAAAGAUGUUUUGAAUGAAAACUUACAGAGAAAGCGUGAAGGUCUUCAUUCUCUUGCAUUCAAGUCUUACAAACCUGAGAUCCAGAAUAAGUUAUUGAUCAUCAAAAAAAAAGCAAAACACAAGAAGCACAAAUCUGGAAAAAAAUCCGUCUCUAAAAAAGCAAUCACAAAGAAGAGGAAAACUGUCAUAAAGUCACCUACUGUACCAGAGUUUCAGCUUAUUUGCACUAAUCUUGAUGAACUCAGGGAAUUAAUCACAAAAAUCGAGAAUGAACUCAAAGAUCUGGAAAACAGUAGAAAAAAAUCGGGAAAAUGGUAUCAUCGGAGGCAAGCUGUAAAAGAAUUACAUAGUACAUUGAUACGUCUUUUAAAUGAAUUGCUGCCAUGGGAACCAAAGUUAAUGAAGGCUUUCCAAAGAAACAGGAGCCGCCUGAAGAAAGACUAUGAUGAUUUCAGAAGACAACCUGAUCAUGAUACAUUUAAUAGAGAACUAUGGACCACUGAUGAAGGUGAAGGAGAUCUUGGAAAAGACUCUCCUAAGGGAGAAAUCAGUAAGUCUAUAGACUCAACAGAACCUCUGGAUAUCCUGGAGAAAGAUCACUUUGAUUCAGAUGAUAUGAAGUUGUCAGAAAUAGAUUUUCCUAUGGCUAGAAGCAAGCUGUUGAAAAAGGAAUUGCCUUCAAAAGACUUACCGAAGACACUGCUUAAAACACUUAAACGACAGUCCAAACAAACUGAUUAUGUGGAUGACAGCACAAAAGAGCUUUCUCCAAGGAAGAAGGCAAAGUUAAGCACAAAUGAGACAACAGUUGAGAAUCUAGAAAGUGAUGUGCAGAUUGACUGUUUCAGUGAAUCAAAGCAUACAGAGCCAUCAUUUCCAGAGUCAUUUGCCUCAUUGGAUUCAGUACCAGUGUCUACUCUCCAGAAAGGGACCAAACCCAUUCAGGCUUUGCUUGCAAAGAAUAUUGGGAAUAAAGUGACCUUAACAAAUCAACUGCCUCCUUCCACAGGUAGAAAUGCUCUUGCUGUGGAAAAACCAGUUUUAUCUCCUCCGGAAGCAAGCCCGAUAAAGCCAGCAUUGACCUGCCACACCAAUACAAAAGGUCCUUUACAAAUGGUAUACAAAAUGCCCUGUGGCCAGUGGUUGCCAAUAGAUCUUCAAAAUAGCUCUGUAAAGAUUCAGGUGCAGCCUAUGGUGGAUCCUAAAACAGGAGAAAAAAUCAUGCAGCAAGUUCUUAUUCUGCCUAAGAAUUUUGUGAUUCAGCAUAAAGAAGGAAAAGCAGUUGCAAAAGAAGUGCCACCACUUCAACAGAAAGGUACAGAACAACAUUGUUCAUCUUUCCCACAGACAACAAAUAUAAAUUCUUCUUUAGCAUCAGUUUUUGUCAACUCACCAGGAACUGUUUCUACCCAACUACCAAAUACAGCUUUCAACAAAACAAUUACACCUUUAUCAAAUAUAAGUAGUGCUAGACCACAGCCUUUGUCGCCUGUAACCUCUGUAAGUAACUUAUUAACACCAUCAGUUAAGACUAGCCAGAGUGAGGCAGGAAAAGCCAAGAAUGCAGUUUCAGCAGCCACAUUCUCCUUGCCCAGUGCUUCACCGACCAUUUCCUCCACAGGUCAGCCUCUGUCAUCAACAACAACACUAAAUGGGUCUACAAAUCCUGGUAGUUCCUUCAACUGUUUUGCACAACAGACUGCUGAUUCUUCUGAAGCAAAGCAAGAGCUGAAAACUGUGUGCAUAAGAGAUUCACAGUCAAUUCUUGUUAGGACACGAGGUGGGAACACUGGAGUUGUAAAAGUACAGACCAACCCAGAUCAAAAUUCACCCAAUACUGUAUCUUCAAGUUCAGUUUUCACUUUUGCUCCUCAGCUGCAGGCAUUUCUGGUGCCAAAAUCAACAACUUCUUCCUCUGCUUUUUCACCUGUAGCUGGAACAACUACUACAUCUAGUCUUUCACCUUUUAGCCAAACACCAACUUCUGUUUCCAUUCCAGCUAGCUUUGCCCCAUCCAUGGGGAAAAAUCUCAAACUUACAUUAGGCCACACCACUGGCAGUGGUGAUUUGGGCCACGUGAUAGAUAAAACUUCACACAUGCCCUCUUCUCCCUUGAAGUCCUCUAUUUGUUCUAGUACUCUACUACCAUCAACAACAAGUAGUUCGGUAAGUGUAAUUAGCAUAUCAGCAGCAAAUUUUGGACAAAACAAUGCAAAUAUUAUUCAUACUCCAACUAAACAGCAACAAGUAGAUUAUAUCACAAAAAGUUACCCUGUUACAAGGUCAGAAGCAACAGCAGCAACAAAUGGAGAUGUAAUCAGUGGGACUCCAGUUCAGAAACUUAUGCUGGUAUCAGCUCCAUCUAUUCUUUCUUCUGGCAAUGGAACUGCAAUUAAUAUGACACCUGCGCUGACAUCUACAGGUGUUUCUGCCCAGAAAUUAGUUUUUAUUAAUGCCCCAGUUCCUAGUGGUACAUCAACCCCAACUCUUGUUGCAGAAUCAUUAAAACAAACUCUUCCUCCUCCAUUGCAUAAAGCAUAUGUUAAGACUCCAGAGCAACCCCAAAUAGUACUGAUUCCGUCUACAGUGGGCACACCAAUAAAAAUAAAUUCAUCACCAGCUGUGUCUCAGAUAAAGGAUGUGAAAAUUGGACUAAACAUAGGUCAAGCAAUUGUAAAUACUUCAGGCACUGUGCCAGCUAUACCAUCAAUUAACAUAUUACAAAAUGUAACCCCAAAAGGAGAAGACAAAAGUAGCAAGGGCUAUAUUUUGCCAUUGUCAACAAGUGGUAAUUCAGUUCCAGUAAGCUCAAAUUUUGUGAGUCAGAAUAUUACCCCUGUUAAUGAAUCAGUGGUUUCUUCAGCAAGAGCAGUAAAUGUGCUUUCAGUUACCGGAGCAAAUUUAUCUUUGGGUUCCUUUCCAGUGACCUCAGCCUCUGCUUCAGCUGGGGCACAACCUCCUGUUUUAGUCAGUGGAAAUGAUACCUCUUCAAGAAUUAUGCCUAUUUUGUCAAAUAGACUUUGCUCAUCAAGUCUCGGAAACACUGUGGCUAUAUCAACUGUGAAAACAGGACACCUUGCAUCAUCUGUUCUGAUUUCAACUACACAACCAGUAGUGUCUCCUAAAUGUUUAACAUCAGCUUUGCAAAUUCCUGUUACGGUUGCCUUACCUACACCUGCGACUACAUCCCCUAAAAUAAUAAACACAGUUCCACAUUCGGCAGCAGUACCAGGAGCCACACGUUCUGUAUCUAUUUCUAAAAGACAAUCUCGGACUUCACUCCAGUUCCAUUCACCAGGGAUUUCAACUACAGUGCCAACAAAUGUAAACACAAAUAAACCUCAAACUGAAUUGUCGUCCCUUUCAACAAGUCCAGACUCAGCCCAAGUCUCCAUGUCCAUCACCUGGGACACUGUCUGAGGAACUCUGUGAGGAGAGCCUUUUCCACAGAGAAAUGAGAGCACCCUCAGACCUUUUCCUCUAAAUGAAGUGCUUGCUGAAUGAGGAAUGGGACUUUCCAACAUCUUUUGGAAAGAUACUUUUUUUCCAUUAUGCAUCAACCUGAAAAGCUUUCAGAUCUGUAAUAACAAGAAAGAGAGACAGCGAGAUCUAUGGAGAAUGCCUUCGGGUGCUGAAGUGCUGAAGUGCUACCUGGCUUUAAGCAAGAUUGCUGAAACCUGUAAUUUUUAUAGCUUAUAAACUCAGUUGAUGUUUCCCAUUCAUGGAGGAUACUGGUACCAGAAGAUUGGAUUGUGUAAUUGUGUUAGCUUCCUGCAUAUUUGGGUAAAGAAGAAAAAAAUACUAUUAAAACCUUUGGCCAUCUAAGAAGGAUGCAGCCUGUUAAAAAACACACAAGUGACCCUUUGUGCUGAUGCAGGAAGGAUGGUUUCCUCAUCGCACUGAUGAUAUCCUGGGAUGCUUAGUGUAGAGUCAGAAGAACUUGGAAUUCACAGGUAACCAGUGAGGAAAGGGGUGAAGAAGAAAAGUAGGAAGAGCAGGUCACAAAGUGGAGUAACAGAACCAGCAAGAAUUCCCAGAAGUGGUAAAACCUGAGGUGUCUAAUAUACUCCUGUUUGCUAUAAGGGAACCUCAAACCCCUUCCCCUGUGCCCUAUAAACCGUCAGUGCUUAGCUACACACAACAUCCAGGUACCCAAGUCUGCUAUGAGUAGAACCAAAGAGACAGGUGCUAUAGUUUGAAUGUGUCCCCCAAAAUUCGUGUAUUGGAAACUUAAUCCCCAAUGCAACAAUGGUAAGAGGUAGGACUUUUAAGAGGUGAUUAAGUUACAAGGGCUCUGUCCUCAUGAAUGGAUUAAUGUUGUUAUUGCAGGAGUGUGUUUGUUAUUGCAAAAGUAGGUUGGUUAUAAAAGUGAGUUUGGGCCAUAUGUGGAGUGUUUCACACUUGUAGUCCCAACACUUUGGGAGGCCGAGGCAGGAUCACUUUAGCCCAGGAGUUUGAGACCAGCCUGGGCAACAUAGUGGGACCUCGUCUCUACAAAAAAAAGUUUUUUUUUAAUUAGCCGGUGUGGUGGCACGUGCCUGUGGUCCCAGCUACUCUGGAGGCUGAGACAGGAGGAUGGCUUGAGCCCAGGAGGUCAAGGCUACAGUGACUCAUGUUCACCACUGCGCUCCAUCCCAGGAUUUCCUGUUUCAAGAAAAAAAAAAAAUGAGUUCAGCUCCCUCUUGCUCUCUCACUCCCUUGCCCAUGUGAUGCCUUCCACUAUGAUAUGACACAGCAAGAAGUCCUCACCAGGUGUGGCCCCUAGAUCUUGGAGUUCCCAGCCUCCCAACUGUAAACCAAAUGAAUUUCAUUUAUUUAUAAAUUACAGUCUCUCGUAUUAUGUUAUAAUCACAGACUAAGACACAGGGCAAGUUCCUGGUUGAGGUUCAUGCCUGAGCAGAGGCAAAGGUAGAGUUGCCAAAGUACAAUGUAGCAAAAGAGGCAUCAGAAGCCGGAAUCAGAGCUGAAGGUUAUAAUGAGGCAAUUAUCUGACUCUCCAGAGAUUCAGAGGAAAGAACUGGAAAGAGGGCCCUGGACUUGGAGGGAUUUCAGCAGUGGGAACUUUACCAACCAUCAAGGCUCUGUAUCCAUUUCGUCUUCUACAAUACCAACAGCCGAUGAGCAGUAAGACUCCCAGGAUCACUGUCAGGAUGCCGAUCCCAGCGGCCCUGGCCCAAGAGAUAGACAAAUCCACUUUGUCAUUGAAACAUUGUUCUACAUUAUGAUGAAGCAUAAAUCAGUCUUCCUCUUCAUAUGGACUUUGACGACCCAGAGCAGCAUCUCCCAGUGUCCAAGUAGUUUCCCACCUCCCACACUGGGCACCCCACCAGGCCUCCAGCACCUGGAUCUAACCCAGGUCUUUAGGAGCCUCUCAAGUGUGUGCCCACAGGAACUCUGCUAAUUGGCAUGGCCCAGGCACCCAAGUUCCAGGUAUGAGAAGUGCCAUAGUAACUGGUCUUUAUGUGGACAAUGUAUUUAUUGGGGCUAAAUUAUCUUUUCUUCUCAUCAGGCUGUUUUAAAACAUUUUCUCCAACUCAGCCCACAAAGAGAAAAUAGAAAUUAACACUGACUCAUCUACUAAAAGCCAGGUGCUGUGCUAAACAUUCAUUAGCUUAUUCAAUUCUCACAUCAACACUGGAGGGUAGACACAAUUUAUCAUCCCCUAUUUUCACAGAAGAGGAAAUAAAAGGCAGAGGAUACAUGACUCGCUGGUGAUCAUACAGAGCUAGCACAAAACAGAGGCUGGAUUUGAACCUGAAUCCGUCUCAAUUAUGUUCGUGCCCUCCCUUCCCUAAACUCCCCGCUUUGCUCCUUGCAGCCCUAGGGAGAAGUGUCUGGGCUGAACCUACAGCAAAGCUGUGGCAUUACUUAUUGAGAAGGAUCUUGUCUAAGCAGCAGGGUGCCAAUCUGGGGGUCUACACCAGCCUCUUGGGCCCUGUGUUCAGUGACCCCUGGGAAGCAUUACAGUUACCACAAAGUUACCACAAAGACCCUGGAAACAGGGCCUGGAGCUGUUCACUCCGGGCAAGCAUCAUCAAUUAGCUAACAUCUGCCUGAUCACAGCAUGAUCAAAAUCGACAGAACUGACUCUGUUAUCUGUGGUUGUCAACUCGCUAAGAAAGUUUCUGCAGAGCUGAGUGACUUACAAGAGACUGAGCAGCUACAGGAGAAGCAAGGUUUAACUAAGGCUUCUGCUGGAGAGACUUUUGCUCAGUACCAUCUACUGGACAACUUCUGUCUCAAGGCUGAGGAGACAUCAAGCUUAUCCUGUCCGUCUCCAAACAGGAUAGAGCGAACCAUGGGAUGACAGUGCUAGAUGGAAACUCUGACUUAUGUAGGUCAGUCCACCCGCUUUAUAGAUCAGGAAGCUGAGACCUAUGAAGAUUCAUCAACAUUACCAUAACCAUAGUGACUACCAUUCAUUGAGCACCAAUUUGUGCCAGGCACUGGGCUAGGCACCCCCACAUAUAUGCUUUUAUUUCAUCCUAACCACAGUCCUCGGAGUUAGGAAUGAUGUUCAUUUUACAGCUGACAUUAUGCUGGUCAAGUGCCCAGGGCUGCACAACCAGCAAGUGGCAGAACCAACAUUCACAGCAACUGGAACGGGAGACCAAGCAAGUGAGCACCAGAAUUUGGGCCAGAUCCAGGUCUCCCAGGCCAGUGCUUUUCCUGCAGAGUCACUCUUUCCUGAACUGAAGCUGUCACAAGGAGUGUUCAGUGUGUUCUCGUGACUGAAGGCAGCUGAUUCAACUCCCAACAUGCCUGUGCUCUCAUUUUACCCUGUGGCGUCCACUUGAAUAUCUUGACACAGUCAGAGCUCUGUUACAGCACUUUAUGCAUGGUCACGUGGUACUCACAACAUGCCCAAGUAACUGAGAGCGAAAAGCACCAGGGUAUGCCUGACACAUUGGAAGAACCCACUGCCCAGCUUGGCAGGGCGCCUCAGAGUGUCUUCCAAAUACCACCUGCAGCAGAAUCACCUGAGAUGCACGUUAAGGUGCAGAUCAUAGGACUCCACCCCUGGCCUACCCAAUCAGCCUCUUAGGUGGCAGCACCUAGAAAUCUGCAUUUUAACAAGUUCCAUGGAUGACUUGUGUCCACCCAACUGUGAGAACUGCUCUCCACUGAGGUUUCAAAGAGAUACAUAAUACCCAAAGCAGGAUAAAGUUAUACUGCAAAGGCUGUGACCUCCAUCUUCCUCUCGAGUCUGGCUGUGGGCUGAGUCACACACACCUGCCCGUCAUCCUUACUGGCUCCUUGGCAACUCACUUUUAUUCUGUCUGCAAACCACCUUCAGGAAUUUGAGUGGAGGAGACAGAACAAGGAUUGAGGAGAGAGGCAUUGUGAUCCUGAACAGAUGUUUUUCCACUUGGGAACCUACAGAUAAGACCCAAUAGUCAAAAGUGCACCCAAAAAUGGCAAGAUCCAACCUUAUACCAUUCCCAUCUUCCUGCCUGUUUGGCCUCAGAGAAGCUUGACUGAGCCCCUUAUAGAAGCACAGAAUCUCCUCCCCUUGUUGCCAGGGAUGUUACUGUCUGGGGAGAUAAACACUAGGGAGAUUUACGAGCAGGCAUGUACUGGUGGAAGUCAGCAGGCUGUGUCAGCAAACGGCAAACUGGAAGCCCUGCUGGGUCUGGUUUUGAACUUACUCUUCAGCCGUGGUGUAAGAGUGGCCGUGCCCCUUCUUGGGGUAACCAUAGAUGAAGUGAGCAUCUUCUCUUGGCAUCUUGUAGGGUCAGGGCACAGGACACCUAACAGAAGGAGCAUGUGGGCAUCAUUAAUGCAUCCAAAGCCACCCUAUUCAUCAUCUCAUAAAGACCCACAACAGCAUCCUCACUAGGUGACCAAUAUCCAUAGCCAGGACCCUUUGGUUUCUCUCUGUGAGGGGAUUUGCACCUGCUUCUUUCAUUCAUAUCAAGGGCUUUAGCAAUAGCUCAGGUUUCUAACCCCUCCUACUAACUGAAAAUUAAGUUCAAAGAAGAAACUACAAACAAAAGCAAAAAAGACUUGCAAGUUGAGUUAUUAUUUGGUGAAAAAAUAUUCCUCAUUUGCCUUCAAUUUGACUCUGCACCAUAAACUUCUAGAGAAACAAACAAAAUGCAUUUUCACUGAUUCUCCACCUUCCCUGGCCCAGGGCUGUGGCUAACAAAAUUAGAGGAGUUAUUUUUCUCCAAAGUUAUUGUUGGAUAUCAAUCCCACAGACAAACAGAGGCUAUGAUACAUAACGUGUGUUUCCCAGAGCACCCGUUGCCUGUGCCUCGCGAGGGUGCAUGAGGUUGAGCACUGAGCACAACAUCUUCCAGCCCAGCUUUUCAGCAAAGGAAACCACCCCACACAGGGGCUUCAGCCUGUCCCCAGGCACUCCACCCAAAACAAGCCGAGGAAGCCCAGGACCUGACUUUAUCUAACAAUGUGUUUCCCUUCCUACUUAAGUCAAUUUCUGCUUCUCUCUGGUUCAAGUCCCUUGGCUAGGAUUCUUUUUUUUUCUAACUAUAACACAUACAAAUGAACAACAAAAAAUAUCCAUAAACUGCAGUGGCCGUAAUUCAAGUACGCUCAUUAAAAACCAAUAAUGGAA